UCGAGCGGCAGCGACAACAUUGAACCUUCGGGGGAUUUGUUGGGCGGCGAGCGGCGGACGGGUGAGUAAUGCCUAGGAAAUUGCCCUGAUGUGGGGGAUAACCAUUGGAAACGAUGGCUAAUACCGCAUGAUGCCUACGGGCCAAAGAGGGGGACCUUCGGGCCUCUCGCGUCAGGAUAUGCCUAGGUGGGAUUAGCUAGUUGGUGAGGUAAGGGCUCACCAAGGCGACGAUCCCUAGCUGGUCUGAGAGGAUGAUCAGCCACACUGGAACUGAGACACGGUCCAGACUCCUACGGGAGGCAGCAGUGGGGAAUAUUGCACAAUGGGCGCAAGCCUGAUGCAGCCAUGCCGCGUGUGUGAAGAAGGCCUUCGGGUUGUAAAGCACUUUCAGUCGUGAGGAAGGUAGUGUAGUUAAUAGCUGCAUUAUUUGACGUUAGCGACAGAAGAAGCACCGGCUAACUCCGUGCCAGCAGCCGCGGUAAUACGGAGGGUGCGAGCGUUAAUCGGAAUUACUGGGCGUAAAGCGCAUGCAGGUGGUUUGUUAAGUCAGAUGUGAAAGCCCGGGGCUCAACCUCGGAAUAGCAUUUGAAACUGGCAGACUAGAGUACUGUAGAGGGGGGUAGAAUUUCAGGUGUAGCGGUGAAAUGCGUA
rnacentral:rRNA from 1 species